UACAGAGGGGGCAAGCGUUAUUCGGAAUUAUUGGGCGUAAAGGGCGCGUAGGCGGCUUCGCAAGUGGAAGGUGAAAUCUCCCGGCUUAACCGGGAGGGUGCCUGGAAAACUGCCGGGCUUGAGGCAGGGAGAGGGAUGCGGAAUUCCCGGUGUAGUGGUGAAAUGCGUAGAUAUCGGGAGGAACACCAGUGGCGAAGGCGGCAUCCUGGCCCUGUACUGACGCUCAGGGGCGAAAGCGUGGGGAGCAAACAGG
rnacentral:rRNA from 1 species